UGUCAGAGCAUUUAAAGGGCCAGAACCAGUCUAAUAAAAUCCACUAUGCCCAAAUAACGUAUUUAAAGGGCAAAAUCUUCCAGGGGCCAUAGUCAUCCGGCAAGAGGCUGGUAAUUAGUCCUCUCCAGGCACAAGUGGUGAAGGGCACUUCGUCACACUCAUUAUCUAUUUAUCACUUUAUAUAUAGUAUUCAGUUAGAAU